rfam:Medicago truncatula strain A17 chromosome 1, whole genome shotgun sequence.
AAACCGCUCCCUAAGUAUUGACUUUUUUGUAGUUUUUGCCCCCCAUGCCAAUUCUGACCAAGUGACGUGGAUGCCACACAUAUAUAUAUAAUUUAUUUUUUAAUUAUUAAAAAAUAAAAAAUAUAUACACACGUGGCGUCCAUGUGUGCAUUUACUCUGUCAAAACUGGUCUGGGGGGCCAAAACUGCAAAAAAGUCAAUACUUAAGGGGCGGUUU